GGGGAUUUAGCUCAGAGGUAGAGCACUUGCUUAGCAAGCACAAGGCCCUGGGUUCGGUCCCCAGCUCCG
rnacentral:tRNA from 1 species